CCUACGGGAGGCAGCAGUGAGGAAUAUUGGUCAAUGGACGAGAGUCUGAACCAGCCAAGUAGCGUGAAGGAUGAAUGCCCUAUGGGUUGUAAACUUCUUUUAUAAAGGAAUAAAACGAGGCACGUAUGCCUUUUUGCAUUUACUUUAUCAAUAAGGAUCGGCUAACCCCGUUCCAGCACCCGCGGUAAUACGGAGGGUCCGAGCGUUACCCGGAUUUAUUGGGUUUAAAGGGAGCGUAGUUGGGUUGUUAAGUCAUUUGUGAAAGUUUGCGGCUCAACCUGAGAAUUGCAAUUGAUACUGGCAGUCUUGAGUAUAGUUGAGGUAGGUGGAAUUCGAGGUGUAGCGGUGAAAUGCUUAGAUAUCACGAAGAACACCGAUUGCGAAGGCAGCUUACUAAACUAUGACUGACGUUGAUGCGCGAAAGUGUGGGUAGCAAACAGGAUUAGAUACCCUUGUAGUC
rnacentral:rRNA from 1 species